GGAAAAAAAAACCCACAUUUACUAUAGGUGAGCCAUUGUUCCUAUGCUUCUUUGUAAGGUUGGUACUGGAAUUAAGCUUAGGUGAACUGAGUUGGUUCUCAGUACCUUAUUCUUUUAAUUUCCACCCCCCUCCCUCCCUCUCAAUAUUGUUAUUUUGGCAUUAUAAAUUCAUAUUCUGAAAUUGACCCUCCUAAACAUCUUUAGAUCACCCCUACAAACACAUAACCCAAGAAUGAAUUAUUUCAGACAACACAGUAUUGGAAGAAGAUUCAACUUAUGAAUUAUAUUCAUUAUAGAAUUA
rnacentral:misc_RNA from 1 species